UACGAAGGGGGCUAGCGUUGUUCGGAAUCACUGGGCGUAAAGCGCACGUAGGCGGAUUUUUAAGUCAGGGGUGAAAUCCCGGGGCUCAACCUCGGAACUGCCUUUGAUACUGGAGAUCUUGAGUCCGGAAGAGGUAAGUGGAACUGCGAGUGUAGAGGUGAAAUUCGUAGAUAUUCGCAAGAACACCCGUGGCGAAGGCGGUUCUCUGGGACGGUACUGACGCUGAGACGCGAAAGCGUGGGGAGCGAACAGG
rnacentral:rRNA from 1 species